rnacentral:rRNA from 1 species
CUACGGGGCGCUCCAGUGGGGAAUAUUGCACAAUGGACGAAAGUCUGAUGCAGCAACGCCGCGUGGAGGAUGACACAUUUCGGUGCGUAAACUCCUUUUAUAUCCCAAGAUAAUGACGGUAGGAUAUGAAUAAGCGCCGGCUAACUCCGUGCCAGCAGCCGCGGUAAUACGGAGGGCGCAAGCGUUACUCGGAAUCACUGGGCGUAAAGAGCGUGUAGGCGGAUAGAUAAGUUGGGAGUGAAAUCCUAUGGCUUAACCAUAGAAUUGCUUCCAAAACUGUCUAUCUAGAAUAUGGGAGAGGUAGAUGGAAUUUCUGGUGUAGGGGUAAAAUCCGUAGAGAUCAGAAGGAAUACCGAUUGCGAAGGCGAUCUACUGGAACAUUAUUGACGCUGAGACGCGAAAGCGUGGGGAGCAAACAGGAUUAGAUACCCGAGUAGUC